UUUUUUUUUUUUUUUGUUCAUUCUCUUGAAAUUUUGAGUAUAAAAGAAGGCGAUUCGACGCUGAAAAUUAUAUCUUCUUGUCUCCUGCAGCGAGUAAGAAAAUCUCAACUUCACCAUGCAUUACUUAUUCGCUAUCCUUGUCUUGGUGGCCCUGAUGGCAGUGGCUUUCGCUCAGUUCCCAUACUAUGGUACCUAUUACAACACUCAUGCCCUUGCUUACCCCUAUGCCUAUAACUAUGGCCUCUACAACCCAGCUUUCAGCUACUUGUGGAAGAAAUGAAUGUAGCAAAUAAGAAAACUCUGGAAUGAAGUACGAUGAUGAACUAAGUCGAAGAUGAUGGAAACAUCUGAAGUCCUUUUACCUUUACUUCUUCAAAUUCUCAGAUAUUUUCCUGUUUCCAAUUCUAAAAUAAAAGAAAAGCGAAGUUCAUGA